rnacentral:misc_RNA from 1 species
UCUUCCACUAAAUUUUGCGAUUAUUCCCUAUCCCUCUAAGCAGGCGAUGGCUCUCUUUCCCCCUCCCCCCAAUGCCUAGAUGUGAUUUGUCCCUCCUUAUCUCUGGACAGGGUUUGUAUAUAGUUUUUCGGUUGGUUCUUGGUAUUGCAUUAAGGUGUAGUGCUUGACUAGAGAGGGAGCUUCCUCUUUUCAACUUGAGAUGUUAGUUUGCCUCCCAUAGUAGCCUGGUAUGAUCAUUAGUUUCUGGAUUAGUUUGCAGGAGGAUGCUUAGUUGCCAUGAGAACAGAAAUCUACGACGUUCCAUAGCCGGUUCCUACAUUUGGCCGCUUGACCCUUGAAAGCGCAAAAGUUGUAGAAGCUCUGGCCAUCGACUUCCUCUACAAAUCGUCAGAGUUUAUGGUUCUUAGCUUUUUUGGGAGGCUUGCUUAUUCCAUGAAAGAUAACUUUAGGGUUGAGCUUGUUUGUCAGGUAUGAUCGACAACUUGAGCGUCUUCUUCCAGGCGAAGUGUGGAGGAGCUACCGUCUCUUUCUUCUUCACUAUAGCUCUAGGGUUUAUUUGUGGGCUUCUGGCCCAAUUCGUAGUGCAGAGAGCUAUUAUGAUCUUUGGGAUCUUUGUGUUAGAG